rnacentral:rRNA from 1 species
GGAUGCGGUCAUACCAGCACUAAAGCACCGGAUCCCAUCAGAACUCCGAAGUUAAGCGUGCUUGGGCAAGAGUAGUACUAGGAUGGGUGACCUCUUGGGAAGUCAUUGUGUCGCAUUCC